ACCCAGCUGAUGAUUCUCAAAUAGGACGAAACGCGCGUCCUGGAU
rnacentral:hammerhead_ribozyme from 1 species